GACGAACCGUGCGAACGUUAUUCGGAAUCACUGGGCUUAAAGCGCGUGUAGGCGGGACGGCACGUCGGUCGCUGAAAUCCCCCGGCUUAACCGGGGAACGGGCGCCGAUACGACCGCCCUGGAGGGACGUAGGGGGACCUGGAACUUCCGGUGGAGCGGUGAAAUGCGUUGAGAUCGGAAGGAACGCCCGUGGCGAAAGCGAGGUCCUGGACGUCUUCUGACGCUGAGAUGCGAAAGCCAGGGGGAGACGGAACGGG
rnacentral:rRNA from 1 species